CAGCCGCCGCGGUAAUACGUAGGGGGCUAGCGUUGUUCGGAAUCACUGGGUCUAAAGGGUGCGUAGGCGGGCUAUCAAGCAAGGGGUGGAAGUCCAUGGCUUAACCAUGGGAUUGCCUUUUGGACUGAUAGUCUGGAGUGCAGGAGGGGAGAGCAGAAUUCCCGGUGUAGGGGUGAAAUCUAUAGAUAUCGGGAAGAAUACCGGUCGCGAAGGCGGCUCUCUGGUCUGCAACUGACGCUGAGGCACGAAAGCGUGGGGAGCGAACCGGAUUAGAUACCCGGGUAGUCCACGCUGUAAACGUUGCACACUUGAUGGUUGGGGCGUAAGCUUUGGCUGUCGGAGCGAAGGUAUUAAGUGUGCCACCUGGGGAGUAUGGUCGCAAGGCUGAAACUUAAAGGAAUUGGCGGG
rnacentral:rRNA from 1 species